UACGAAGGGGGCUAGCGUUGUUCGGAUUUACUGGGCGUAAAGGGCGCGUAGGCGGGCGGUCAAGUCGAGGGUGAAAGCCCCCAGCUUAACUGGGGAAGUGCCUCCGAUACUGGCCGUCUCGAGGGGGAUAGGGGCGUGCGGAACUUCCGGUGGAGCGGUGAAAUGCGUAGAUAUCGGAAGGAACAUCGGUGGCGAAAGCGGCGCGCUGGGUCCCUUCUGACGCUGAGGCGCGAAAGCCAGGGGAGCGAACGGG
rnacentral:rRNA from 1 species